GAGUGGCGGACGGGUGAGUAACGCGUGGGAACAUACCCUUUGGUACGGAAUAGUCCUGGGAAACUGGGGGUAAUACCGUAUGUGCUCUUCGGAGGAAAGAUUUAUCGCCAAAGGAUUGGCCCGCGUUGGAUUAGGUAGUUGGUGGGGUAAUGGCCUACCAAGCCGACGAUCCAUAGCUGGUUUUAGAGGAUGAUCAGCCACACUGGGACUGAAACACGGCCCAGACUCCUACGGGAGGCAGCAGUGGGGAAUCUUAGACAAUGGGCGCAAGCCUGAUCUAGCCAUGCCGCGUGAUCGAUGAAGGCCUUAGGGUUGUAAAGAUCUUUCAAAUGGGAAGAUAAUGACUGUACCCUCAAAAAAACCCCGGCUAACUCUGUCCACAGCCGCGGUAUACGGAGGGGGCUAGCGUU
rnacentral:rRNA from 1 species